rnacentral:lncRNA from 1 species
UGCUUUAAGUAACUCUCACAGUGGAAGUGACUGGGUCUCACUCUGCCACCCAGGCUGGAGUGCAGUGGUGCAAUCUUUGCUCACUGCAGCCUUGAACUCCUAGGCUCAAGCAAUCCUCCUGCCUCAGCCUCCUGAGUAACUGGGACUACAAGCACACAACACCACACCCAGACUCCAUGGGCAAGAGCGCAGUUACAUGGCCCCAUCUAACCCGAAAGAAGGCUGAAAAUACUGUACAGCUCUGAGCCCAGGAAGAAGAGGACACUGGCUUUACUGAGCAACCAGCAAGGUCAGCCAUGGGUCCGUCUGGUUUUGCCAAUGGGCACUUCUCCCUCACCCUCUUGAUCAUUUUCCUCUUCUCCUCAAUGAUAACACAAUGUCAUCUGCACCUAGUGUCUAAAACUCUAGCUUAUGUAUUUUCUGGUUUAUUAGACCAGGUGACUUUUCUCUAAGAAUAAUACAGCCUGCAUGUGCUAAUGUUAUAAGUAGUCAAUUUGGGGGCUGAGUGGUACCAUGUUCUAAAUGAGAAAUACCUGCUGGUUUGUAAAUGUUUUAACUGAUUUCAAAACUAUAUAUACAGUUGACCCCAUAACAACAUGGAAGUUAGGGCCACCAAACCCACAUGCAGUAGAAAAUCCACAUGUAACUUUUGACUCCCCAAAAACUUAACUACUAAUGAUCUAUGGUUGACCAGAAACUUUACUGAUAACAUAGCCAAUUAAUAUAUGCUUUGUGUGUUCUAUGUAUUAUAUGCUGUAUUCUUAAAAUAAAGUAAGCUAGAGAAAAGAAAAUGUUUUAAGAAAAUCAUAAGGAAGAGAAAAUAUAUUUCCUAUUCACUAAGUGCAAGUGGAUCAUCAUGAAGGUCUUCACCCUUGUCAUCUUCACAUCGAGUAGGCUGAAGAGAAAAAGGAGGGGUUGGUCUUGUUGUCUCAGGGAUGGCAGAGGCGGAAGAAAAUCUAUGUAUAAGUGAAUCCAUGCAGUUCAAACCCAUCUUAUUCAUGAGUCAACUAUAUAUACAUAUUUUUUUAACAAAUGCAAUAUCUCUUCUCAUUGUUUACUGUUAUUAACAUACACAGGAUAAUCAACAUUUAGCUAAAGUAAUCACUAUUUAUUCAGUGUGUACUUUGUUGCGGAUUUGUGCUUUACACUAUAUACAUCUGAAAACCAUAAUCCAGGGGUUAUUAAUUUCUGUUUUAAAGUGAGACAGCUCAGGUGCAGAGAGGCUUAAUGACUGAAUCAAGGCCCUUUUCCUAGUAAUUGUCACUGCUGAUACUGGAAUUCAGGUUGGCCUGUCUUUAAGGCCCACAUUUUUUAUUCCAUACAAUCUUUCAUCCAUUAAUAAUACACCACAGAUUGAUGAUAACAAGGUCACAAUCUAAUCAUGAUGCUUCACAAUCAUAGUGGGAAUUUAAGGUUCUUUGGCCCAACCCAGAACCCGUAUACCUCACUUUUAUCAUGGGAGCAGUGAGAUAAUCUAGUUUUUCUAUGCAAAAUAUUACUGUUAUGAAUAUCUAUGAUUCUUGCCCUCUGAAAGUGAUACUAGUGACUUGUAAUGAGCAUAUUGGCUCAAUACUGGGAAGAGAAAAAUUAACAUUUGUGUACCUAGAUUAAUGAAGAGUUAGUUGGUGGCCUGGGGAUAGGCUGGGCAAUGAUUGUUCAUGAUGAUAGCAGAAAUUUCUUCAAAGGCUCAGAAGGCAUGAUCUAAGACCUCUCAUGAUGGGGAGAGAAUUUCUGAAGGGCUCAAAUUCAUUUCUGACACAAAAUCAUAAUGAGAUGAUGCAUUUAGUUAUACAGAUAUCUUGAAAUAAAGAAGAUGUUUGGUAAAUAACUUUACACUUAUGAACUACAAGGUCUGUAGUAUACUAUUAAAUGCGGUGUUUUUUUUUAGCCAUUAUGCUAAAAGCAUCAAGUUUUAAAAUAUGAACGUUUAAAUUAUUCCAUAAUUUUAUAACUCCUGUUUGGGCAUUUCUCCAUAUUUUUAAACGUACUAUUAGGUUGAUGCAAUUGAAAGCAUAGCAAAAAUCUCAAUUACUGUUGCACCAAUCUAAUAGUGCUCACAGGAGAAAAGAAGAAGGACAGGCUUCCCUCAACUUCUGAAGCAUGGUUCUACUAGUUCUUCUUAGGGCUGUGGAAGUUCCUAAGUGUGAUUAUUUGUUGGGAGUGGUUUAAGCUGGAUGUGUUUUGGGUUCCUGAGAACACUGUAGCUAUACACCUGUGGUUUUCCUAUGAGCUAGGCAGUUGGAUGUACACGCCAUGUGCACAGAGGAUACAGGCUUUGAGAAUUGAUGACUAGUCUAAGUUAUAAUUUUUGAAUGCACAGCAUUGUAAGGACAAAGAAAAAGUCUAUAUAUAUAUAUAUAUAUAUAUAUAUAAUUUAAAUACUUUGAAAUUUAUUGACGCUCAUUUUAAGGGCCAAAAUAUAGUCCAUCUUGGCAGAUGUUCAGUGCAAACUUGAAAAGAAUGUGUACAUUGUUAAGUGGAGUGUUCUGUAAAUAAUCAGAUAAAGUAGGUUGAUAGUGUUGUUCAAGCCUACUGUAUCCUUUCUGAUUUUCUGCCUACUUUUCCUAAGAAUUAUUGAGGUAUGGGUAUUAAAAUCUCCAACUAUUAUUAUGAGAUUACCUACUUGUCCUUGAAAUUCUAACAGAUUUUGCUUCAUGUAUUUUGAAUCUUUGUUGUUAGCUGCAUAAAUGUUUAGAAUUGCUAUGUUCUCUUGAUAAACUAACCCUAU